rnacentral:rRNA from 1 species
GUCCUUUAGAUAAUUAUUAAAGGUUUAACCUGCCCACUGAAGUAUUUUAAAUGGCCGCAGUAAAUUGACUGUGCAAAGGUAGCAUAAUCAAUAGUUUUUUAAUUAAAAGCUUGUAUGAAUGGUUGGACGAAAUAAAAUCUGUCUUUAAUUUAUAAAUAGAAUUUAAUAUUUAAGUUAAAAAGCUUAAAUUUUAUUAAAAGACGAGAAGACCCUAUAGAUCUUUAUAAUAAUUAAUUUGUUUUUAUUAAGGAAAUAAUUUUUAUUUCAAUUUAAUUAUUAUUUUAUUGGGGUAAUAGGAAGAUUAUAUAAAUUCUUCUUUUUUAUAGAUAAUUAUCUUUGAUUUGAUGAUCCAUUAUUAAUGAUUAAAAGAUUAAGUUACCUUAGGGAUAACAGCGUAAUUUUUUUUGAGAGUUCAUAUCGAUAAAAAAGUUUGCGACCUCGAUGUUGGAUUAAAAAUUAUUCUAGGUGUAGUAGUUUAGAGUUUUGGUCUGUUCGACCAUUAAAUUUUUACA